rnacentral:rRNA from 1 species
GGGCCUGCCGGGGGUUCUCGGGCUUCGGCUCGAUCUCCCACCCUUUGUGAACAUACCUCUGUUGCUUUGGCGGCUCUUUGCCGCGAGGAGGCCCUCGCGGGCCCCCCCGCGCGCUUUCCGCCAGAGGACCUUCAAACUCCAGUCAGUAAACGUCGACGUCUGAUAAACAAGUUAAUAAACUAAAACUUUCAACAACGGAUCUCUUGGUUCUGGCAUCGAUGAAGAACGCAGCGAAAUGCGAUAAGUAAUGUGAAUUGCAGAAUUCAGUGAAUCAUCGAAUCUUUGAACGCACAUUGCGCCCCUUGGCAUUCCGAGGGGCAUGCCUGUUCGAGCGUCAUUACAACCCUCAAGCUCUGCUUGGUAUUGGGCGCCGUCCUCUCUGCGGACGCGCCUUAAAGACCUCGGCGGUGGCUGUUCAGCCCUCAAGCGUAGUAGAAUACACCUCGCUUUGGAGCGGUUGGCGUCGCCCGCCGGACGAACCUUCUGAACUUUUCUCAAGGUUGACCUCGGAUCAGGUAGGGAUACCCGCUGAACUUAAGCAUAUCAAUAAGCGGAGGAA